rnacentral:rRNA from 1 species
AGAGUUUGAUCCUGGCUCAGAGCGAACGUUAGCGGGAGGCUUAACACAUGCAAGUCGAGCGAGAACAGGGACUUCGGUCCCUUAGUAAAGCGGCGGACGGGUGAGUAACACGUGGAUAAUCUGCCCUUUGGCGGGGGACAACAAUUCGAAAGGAUUGCUAAUACCGCAUAAGUCUAGUGAGCCUCAGGGUUCAUUAGGGAAAGAUGGCCUCUUCUUGAAAGCCGUCACCGAAGGAUGAGUCCGCGUAGCAUCAGCUUGUUGGUGGGGUAAUGGCCUACCAAGGCAAAGACGCUUAGCUGGUCUGAGAGGAUGAUCAGCCACACUGGGACUGAGAUACGGCCCAGACUCCUACGGGAGGCAGCAGUGGGGAAUAUUGGACAAUGGGCGCAAGCCUGAUCCAGCCAUCCCGCGUGUGUGAAGAAGGCCUUCGGGUUGUAAAGCACUUUCAGUUGUCAGGAAAGGGAUGUAGUUAAUAUCUGCAUUCUGUGACGUUAACAACAGAAGAAGCACCGGCUAACUUCGUGCCAGCAGCCGCGGUAAUACGAGGGGUGCAAGCGUUAAUCGGAAUUACUGGGCGUAAAGCGUUCGUAGGCGGUUAUUUAAGCAAGAUGUGAAAGCCCAGGGGGCUCAACCUUGGAACUGCAUUUUUGAACUGGGUAACUAGAGUACUGUAGAGGGUGGUGGAAUUUCCAGUGUAGCGGUGAAAUGCGUAGAGAUUGGAAGGAACAUCAGUGGCGAAGGCGGCCACCUGGACAGAUACUGACGCUGAGGAAAGAAAGCGUGGGGAGCGAACAGGGAUUAGAUCCCCUGGUAGUCCACGCCGUAAACGAUGUCAACUAGCCGUUCGUGGACUUGAUCCGUGAGUGGCGCAGCUAACGCACUAAGUUGACCGCCUGGGGAGUACGGCCGCAAGGUUAAAACUCAAAUGAAUUGACGGGGGGUGGCCCGCACAAGCGGUGGAGCAUGUGGUUUAAUUCGAAGCAACGCGAAGAACCUUACCUACUCUUGACAUCCAGAGAACUCGCUAGAGAUAGCUUGGUGCCUUCGGGAACUCUGAGACAGGUGCUGCAUGGCUGUCGUCAGCUCGUGUUGUGAAAUGUUGGGUUAAGUCCCGUAACGAGCGCAACCCUUGUCCUUAUUUGCCAGCACGUAAUGGUGGGAACUCUAAGGAGACUGCCGGUGACAAACCGGAGGAAGGUGGGGACGACGUCAAGUCAUCAUGGCCCUUACGAGUAGGGCUACACACGUGCUACAAUGGCAGGUACAGAGGGCUGCAAACCCGCGAGGGGGAGCAAAUCCCAGAAAACCGGUCGUAGUCCGGAUUGGAGUCUGCAACUCGACUCCAUGAAGUCGGAAUCGCUAGUAAUCGCGAAUCAGAACGUCGCGGUGAAUACGUUCCCGGGCCUUACACACCCCGCCCGUCACACCAUGGGAGUGGAUUGCACCAGAAGUAGGUAGCUUAACCUUCGGGAGAGCGCUUACCACGGUGUGGUUCAUGACUGGGGUGAAGUCGGAACAAGGUAGCC